CCUACGGGUGGCUGCCGUGGGGAAUAUUGGACAAUGGGGGGAACCCUGAUCCAGCCAUGCCGCGUGUGUGAAGAAUGCCCUCGGGUUGUAAAGCACUUUCAGUGAGGAAGAACGCCUGGUGGUUAAUACCCAUCAGGAAAGACAUCACUCACAGAAGAAGCACCGGCUAACUCCGUGCCAGCAGCCGCGGUAAUACGGAGGGUGCGAGCGUUAAUCGGAAUUACUGGGCGUAAAGCGCGCGUAGGUGGCUUGAUAAGCCGGUUGUGAAAGCCCCGGGCUCAACCUGGGAACGGCAUCCGGAACUGUCAAGCUAGAGUGCAGGAGAGGAAGGUAGAAUUCCCGGUGUAGCGGUGAAAUGCGUAGAGAUCGGGAGGAAUACCAGUGGCGAAGGCGGCCUUCUGGACUGACACUGACACUGAGGUGCGAAAGCGUGGGUAGCAAACAGGAUUAGAUACCCCAGUAGUC
rnacentral:rRNA from 1 species